AGCAGCCGCGGUAAUUCCAGCUCCAAUAGCGUAUAUUAAAGUUGUUGCAGUUAAAAAGCUCGUAGUUGAAUUUCGGGACUAACAGGUUGGUCGCGCCUUUGGUGUGUACUGGUCUAGUUGGUUUCUCCCUUCUGACGAACCACGAUGUCAUUAGUUUGGUGUCGUGGGAAAUCAGGACUGUUACUUUGAAAAAUUAGAGUGUUUAAAGCAAGCGCUAGCUUGAAUACAUUAGCAUGGAAUAAUGAAAUAGGACGUUUGACCCUAUUUUGUUGGUUUCUAGGAUCGACGUAAUGAUUAAUAGGGAUAGUUGGGGGCAUUAGUAUUCAAUUGUCAGAGGUGAAAUUCUUGGAUUUAUUGAAGACUAACUACUGCGAAAGCAUUUGCCAAGGAUGUUUUCAUUAAUCAAAGA
rnacentral:rRNA from 1 species